rnacentral:tRNA from 1 species
GUUUCCAUAGUGUAGUGGUUAGCACAUCUGCUUUACACGCAGAAGGUCCUGGGUUCAAGCCCCAGGUGGAGUCA